rnacentral:rRNA from 1 species
ACGCUCGACACCUACGGAGGCAGCAGUCGGGAAUAUUGCGCAAUGGAGGAAACUCUGACGCAGUGACGCCGCGUGCAGGAAGAAGGUUUUCGGAUUGUAAACUGCUUUAGACAGGGAAGAAAGAAAUGACAGUACCUGUAGAAUAAGCUCCGGCUAACUACGUGCCUAGCACGCCGGACGGUUAAUCUGGAGGCGGGCGUGGACGAAGGC